rnacentral:misc_RNA from 1 species
GAUGAAGAACGUAGCGAAAUGCGAUAAGUAGUGUGAAUUGCGGAAUUCAGUGAAUCAUCGAAUCUUUGAACGCACAUUGCGCCCGCCAGUAUUCUGGCGGGCAUGCCUGUUCGAGCGUCAUUACAACCCUCAGGCCCCCGGGCCUGGCGUUGGGGAUCGGCGGAAGCCCCCUGUGGGCACACGCCGUCCCUCAAAUACAGUGGCGGUCCCGCCGCAGCUUCCAUUGCGUAGUAGCUAACACCUCGCAACUGGAGAGCGGCGCGGCCAUGCCGUAAAACACCCAACUUCUGAAUGUUGACCUCGAAUCAGGUAGGAAUACCCGCUGAACUUAAGCAUAUCAAUAAGCGGAGGA